rnacentral:misc_RNA from 1 species
UCCUGGUUUCCCAGGCAGUCCCAUCAGAGUGCUUUCAAUAAAGAAAUAGCAACUGACAGCAAGGGUUGCGCUCGUUAUAGGACUUAACCCAACAUCUCACGACACGAGCUGACGACAGCCAUGCAGCACCUGUGCAAAUGUCCAAGGUUACCCCUGGAAAGCUACAUCUCUGUAGCGAUCAUAAGCAUGUCAAGCCUAGGUAAGGUUUCUCGCGUAGUGUCGAAUUAAAUCACAUGUUCCACCGCUUGUGCGGACCCCCGUCAAUUCCUUUGAGUUUUAAUCUUGCGACCGUAAUCCCCAGGCGGAUCACUUAACGCGUUAGCUACGACACUAAUCUCGCAGAGCGAGACUAACGUCUAGUGAUCAUCGUUUACGGCGUGGACUAC